rnacentral:rRNA from 1 species
CGUACACUCCUGCGGGAGGCAGCAGUGGGGAAUCUUGCGCAAUGGGCGAAAGCCUGACGCAGCCAUGCCGCGUGAAUGAUGAAGGUCUUAGGAUUGUAAAAUUCUUUCACCGGGGACGAUAAUGACGGUACCCGGAGAAGAAGCCCCGGCUAACUUCGUGCCAGCAGCCGCGGUAAUACGAAGGGGGCUAGCGUUGCUCGGAAUUACUGGGCGUAAAGGGAGCGUAGGCGGACAUUUAAGUCAGGGGUGAAAUCCCGGGGCUCAACCUCGGAAUUGCCUUUGAUACUGGGUGUCUUGAGUAUGAGAGAGGUGUGUGGAACUCCGAGUGUAGAGGUGAAAUUCGUAGAUAUUCGGAAGAACACCAGUGGCGAAGGCGACACACUGGCUCAUUACUGACGCUGAGGCUCGAAAGCGUGGGGAGCAAACAGGAUUAGAAACCCGUGUAGUCCCAU